GCAGGCUCAGCCUCAAGUCACUGAGGAUGCCUCCUGUCCCAGUUAAGAUUCUGGCUGUAAAACUGCCUGGCCAAACAAUGUCUAUCGCUUGUCAAUAAUUAGGACGCCAAAUCACAGCUUCUCACUGAGGAGACACAGUGAAGCGUUGGAGAGUCACUGGCCCAGAAUGAAAGAUGACAGCAGCAUGAGGAGUGGCACCCAACCCUCAUUUUAAAACCCAUCAUUACUUCUACCAUCGCAGGAACAAGGACUCUGCUGGCACCCAAACUGCUGGCUGAUGAUGAGCGUUAAAAAUUCAACACAUACACGCGAUUUCCUGUAACCUCAGGAAUCCAUGUUUACACACUUUAAACAGUUGUCACAUCUUACUUUCUGCAUGGCUCUUUAACUCGGUGUUCCUUAACUUUACACGUUAUACAUGUGGUAUCUUUUGUCAAUGAAACACCAAGUGUCCUAAAGUCAAAGCAAUGUGUUACAUGACUUUAUAUUGCUCGCAGUGCUUAGAUGUAGCAGGUGCUCAAUUCAUUUUUGUUGAAUGAAUACAUUUACUGUAUACAACUAAUCAAGUGUGCGUUUUCUCUAAAUUCUUAUAAAAACAAUACUUGGGGAAAAUAACAAGAAGACCCUCCCCAAUCCUAGCACAAAAUACCAAAAAAAAAAACUUAAAAUGGGACAAAAACAACCUACAAUCCUUUUCCUCAUCCGCACUUCUGACUGUACAUCAGGCCAGCCAUGCAGAAAUGAGCAAGAGGGUGCAAGACUACUCUUGGGGUACCAGGGAGAACAACCUAACUCCAAGGAGCCUCCUCAGACACCCUCCACUUCUGGGCCAUUCCUUAGCAACAGAAGCAGAAGAUGAAACCACUUUCCAUAACUGCAGCUUGGAAGUCUCUUUUCUGAAAACUCUCCCUGACAGAGUAUCUGGGAUAUGUUUUGGAGAAUAGCUCUUAGGGCUGCAUUACACCGACGAUCGGCAAAUGGUCAAACAUUGAAAGAUGAUUCAUUGCCAUUUAAAGGAGCCUUACCUGCAUUCCGUAUCCUCUCUUU
rnacentral:lncRNA from 10 species